UUCGCCAAGAUAUUUGCUGGAAUGUGAAAUUAACAGUACAAUACAAAUUAAAUUUCUACUAUGACAAUUGUUACUUUGAUCAAAAUUCCUUGGGAGCCGAAAUAGUGCAGGUGUGUUUACUGUCAUUACGUCACGGUAACAAUCUCACACGUGCCUCUCAAGUUGUGAACCGGCGGACAUAAUCGCAGUGCUACAAGUGUUCUGCAUGACGGUUACAAGCUGCAACCAUUCCCACACAAGCACUGGGUUUAGGAGGCAGUGGUGAAGCAUCUAUUCGGAGUGUACCUCAUUAAGAUGGCCUGAUUCUCAGAGUGUGAACAUCUUUGAUGACGGGCACAACAUUAGAGGCGCCUGGGAUCUGGAUACCCAAAGGAGAUAUGUACUCGUAAGGGAUGGUGCAUCGAAUAUGCUACUUGGUAACAAUCUAUCUGUUCACUGCUCAAUACACUGCAUCCAGCUCACCAUGAACGAACCCAUUCUCUCACACAAGUUUGUAAAAGAUGUGUUGGUGAAAAAGCAUCAUCAGUGUACUCAGAGCGUGUUUUUUCAGAAUACGGCAACAUUUUUGAGGAAAAGCUCACAAGAACAAUGCCAAAAAGAGGAGAGAUGCUCCUGUUUCUUCGCAAUGGUAGAAAAUUCUCCCGAUGAACGUCAAAUGCUAAUUGAUUUUCUGGAUCAUAAAUGUCCCAUUCUCUCAUUUAAAUAAAGAAUAAAGGAUAAUUGCUCUGCCAUAAAA